UAAGGAAUAUUGGUCAAUGGGCGCAAGUCUGAACCAGCCAUGCCGCGUGAAGGAUGAAGGUCCUCUGGAUUGUAAACUUCUUUUAUCUGGGACGAAAACGGGAUUUUUAUCUCAAUUGACGGUACCAGAGGAAUAAGCACCGGCUAACUCCGUGCCAGCAGCCGCGGUAAUACGGAGGGUGCGAGCGUUAUCCGGAUUUACUGGGUUUAAAGGGUGCGUAGGUGGGCUUAUAAGUCAGUGGUGAAAUCUCCGAGCUUAACUUGGAAACUGCCGUUGAUACUAUAGGUCUUGAAUUAUCUGGAGGUAAGCGGAAUAUGUCAUGUAGCGGUGAAAUGCUUAGAUAUGACAUAGAACACCAAUUGCGAAGGCAGCUUACUACAUAUAAAUUGACGCUGAGGCACGAAAGCGUGGGG
rnacentral:rRNA from 1 species